rnacentral:rRNA from 1 species
CCUACGGGAGGCAGCAGUGGGGAAUAUUGGGCAAUGGAGGAAACUCUGACCCAGCGACGCCGCGUGAGGGAUGAAGGCCUUCGGGUUGUAAACCUCUUUCAGUAGGGAAGAAGCGAAAGUGACGGUACCUACAGAAGAAGCACCGGCUAACUAUGUGCCAGCAGCCGCGGUAAUACAUAGGGUGCAAGCGUUGUCCGGAAUUAUUGGGCGUAAAGAGCUCGUAGGUGGUUCGAUACGUCGGAUGUGAAAAUCAGGGGCUCAACCCCUGACCUGCAUCCGAUACGGUCGAGCUAGAGUUUGGUAGGGGAGACUGGAAUUCCUGGUGUAGCGGUGGAAUGCGCAGAUAUCAGGAGGAACACCGAUGGCGAAGGCAGGUCUCUGGGCCAAUACUGACACUGAGGAGCGAAAGCGUGGGGAGCGAACAGGAUUAGAUACCCUGGUAGUCCACGCCGUAAACGGUGGGCGCUAGUUGUGCGAACCUUCCACGGUUUGUGCGACGCAGCUAACGCAUUAAGCGCCCGCCUGGGGAGUACGAUCGCAAGAUUAAAACUCAAAUGAAUUGACGG